rnacentral:rRNA from 1 species
AUUGAACGCUGGCGGCAGGCCUAACACAUGCAAGUCGAACGGUAACAGGAAACAGCUUGCUGUUUCGCUGACGAGUGGCGGACGGGUGAGUAAUGUCUGGGAAACUGCCUGAUGGAGGGGGAUAACUACUGGAAACGGUAGCUAAUACCGCAUAACGUCGCAAGACUAAAGAGGGGGACCCUCGGGCCUCUUGCCAUCGGAUGUGCCCAGAUGGGAUUAGCUUGUUGGUGGGGUAACGGCUCACCAAGGCGACGAUCCCUAGCUGGUCUGAGAGGAUGACCAGCCACACUGGAACUGAGACACGGUCCAGACUCCUACGGGAGGCAGCAGUGGGGAAUAUUGCACAAUGGGCGCAAGCCUGAUGCAGCCAUG